UUUAAAUGACUAUACAAAACACAUAUUUGAAGAAAUACAUUUUUCUUUCUUCCAUCACCAGAAAGGGAAUAUAUAGAGAUGAUGUUUCUAGCUGUGUCUGGCUGAGCCAGGCUGCUUUGCUGGGCUCAGAGCAGAAACUACCACCAGCAACACUGUUCUGACCAGGAGUUAACCACCUAGGAAAGGGCCCAUGGAUAAAAACAACAAACAACAACUCUGAUCAAGGAUGCUAUGAGGAACCGGGCACAGGUGCACCCAGUGACCUCACCAAGGUGGCGAAUCUACAACCCUCAGCAGGUUGGGAUGUCUACGUGCAUGUGCAUCCAGCAGAUGAGUCCCCAGUCCUCCCUCUCCUGCCCCGGGAGGCAUUGGCAUGACGUGGAAAAGUAGCAGCUGGAAAGAAACCAGCCAGCCCUGCUUACGUUGAUGGUGAAGAUUACUGGCUCCAGAUCUUCAUAGGUGAUCUUUAUCUUUUCAGUUGCACUCUUUGCCUGUACUUCUGUCUCUGCA